CUAUACAUGACUCUGCGCAUAUCAAUAAGCGGAGGAAAAGAAACUAACAAGGAUUCCCUUAGUAACGGCGAGUGAAGCGGGAAGAGCUCAAAUUUGAAAUCUUCAAGGUUUUACCUUGACGAAUGGUAGUUUAAAGAAGUGUUUUCUGUUGAAGUUUUGGUAAAAGUUCUUUGGAAUAGGACAUCAUAGAGGGUGAGAAUCCCGUAUUUGACCAUUAUUUUCAGCUGUGUGAUACACUUUCAAAGAGUCGGAUUGUUUGGGAAUGCAGUCCAAAAUGGGUGGUAAAUUUCAUCUAAAGCUAAAUAUUGGCGAGAGACCGAUAGCGAACAAGUACCGUGAGGGAAAGAUGAAAAGAACUUUGAAAAGAGAGUUAAACAGUACGUGAAAUUGUCAAAAGGGAAGCGUUUGACACCAGUGUUGUUUUCUCGAAAAUCAAUUAAAAAAGGCCGGAUUUUGUGUUGUAUUGACCUUAAAAGCUUUCUUCACUCUUUUCUUGUCUUUUUUAAUGCACUUUUCGUUUAACAAGUCAACAUCAGUUUCUUUUGUUGUAAAAGGGUCAUUGGAAGGUGGCUUUCUUUUCGGAGAAAGUGUUUAUAGCCUUUGAUCUCUGCAACCGGAGAGACUGAGGUCUGCAGCGUAGACUCCUCGGGGUUAAAUACAUUUGUGCUAAGCUAUAGCUUUUUAUAGACAACUUGUUGACUAUAUUUAGUCUUGUAGCUUACUCGCUUAUGCUAUUUUACCUACGCUUAGGAUGUUGACGAGACUGUCGAUCUCAUCUAUACAUGACUCUGCGCAUAUCAAUAAGCGGAGGAAAAGGAGUAUACCUACGCUUAGGAUGUUGACGAGACUGUCGAUCUCAUCUAUACAUGACUCUGCGCAUAUCAAUAAGCGGAGGAAAAGAGGGCUAUUACCUACACUUAGGAUGUUGACGAGACUGUCGAUCUC
rnacentral:rRNA from 1 species